rnacentral:tRNA from 1 species
GAUUUUAUUCUUUUAUUAUAA